GACGAACGCUGGCGGCGUGCCUAAUACAUGCAAGUCGAGCGGACAGAUAAGGAGCUUGCUCCUUUGAAGUCAGCGGCGGACGGGUGAGUAACACGUGGGCAACCUGCCUAUAAGACUGUGAUAACUCCGGGAAACCGGGGCUAAUACCGGAUAGAUUCUUUCCUCUCAUGAGGAAAGAAGGAAAGAUGGUUUCGGCUAUCACUUAUAGAUGGGCCCGCGGCGCAUUAGCUAGUUGGUAAGGUAACGGCUUACCAAGGCGACGAUGCGUAGCCGACCUGAGAGGGUGAUCGGCCACACUGGGACUGAGACACGGCCCAGACUCCUACGGGAGGCAGCAGUAGGGAAUCUUCCGCAAUGGACGAAAGUCUGACGGAGCAACGCCGCGUGAACGAAGAAGGCCUUCGGGUCGUAAAGUUCUGUUGUUAGGGAAGAACAAGUACGAUAGUAACUGAUCGUACCUUGACGGUACCUAACCAGAAAGCCACGGCUAACUACGUGCCAGCCGCCGCAGUAAAAC
rnacentral:rRNA from 1 species